UACGAAGGGGGCUAGCGUUGCUCGGAAUCACUGGGCGUAAAGCGCACGUAGGCGGAUCUUUAAGUCAGGGGUGAAAUCCCAAGGCUCAACCUUGGAACUGCCUUUGAUACUGGGGAUCUCGAGUCCGGAAGAGGUGAGUGGAACUGCGAGUGUAGAGGUGAAAUUCGUAGAUAUUCGCAAGAACACCGGUGGCGAAGGCGGGUCUCUGGGCCGAUACUGACGCUGAGGAGCGAAAGCGUGGGGAGCGAACAGG
rnacentral:rRNA from 1 species